GUCUAAUUUUGCUUAGAAGAUAAAAGGCUUUUUAUUCAUCAUAUAUCUCAAUUAAUCGGGGUUUUUUCUUCAUUUUCUCUCUCUCUUGAAGCUAUCAAGUUUAUGGAGGUGAGCCAUACAUAAGGUCUGCCGAAGACAUUGCAUUCCGCGUCACUCUUUUUAUUGCAAGAAAAAAUGGAAGCUAUGUCAAUUACUAUAUGGUAUCAAUAUUAACAUAUGCAACUCUCUUGAUUUAAUAGGAUCUCUCUACUGUCCCCUCUGUUCUCUGUUGCUAGAAUAACCUCUAAGUUACAUUUUGUUUUUUGUUUUGCAAACUUGGUACCAUGGUGGAACUAACUUGGGGAGAACGAGUUCUUCUUAUGUUAUAACAUCUUUUUAUGAUCAAGCUCCACUUGAUGAAUAUGGUGAGUAUAGAACAUUAAUUGUUUUCCUACCCCGACAUCCACAUAACAGGCAAAUAAAGGUCUAUUAAGGCAACCCAAGUGGGGACAUCUCAAGAAAGUAGAGCAAUUUCUCUUUAGGUCAACUACAGGAGGGUUAUGUUUUUGAAGAAGAAGGAAAAUGUGUUGCUUUCCUUGUAAACAAUGAUCACGUGAAAAUGUUCACCGUCCAAUUCCGCAACAGAUCAUACGAAUUGCCUCCGAAGUCAAUUAGUAUUUUAUCAGAUUGUCAAAAUGUGACUUUCAAUACAGCAACGGUAAAUACAAAGAGCAACAGAAGAAUCAUUAGUCCAAUACAAACUUUCAGCUCGGCCGAUUAAUGGGAGCAAUUUCUGGAUGUCAUCCCUAACCUUGACCGGACUACGUUAAUAUCAAACUCAUUACUUGAGCAAAUGAACGUAACCAAAGAUACAUCAGAUUACCUUUGGUGUACUCUUAGAUUAGUUAUACAUAAAUACAUCCACUUAUCUGACAUAAGGGUUCAAAUAUAUCUGACAUUCCUUUUUAUCUAUUCAAUCACAUCAUUGGACACUGAUGGUGUAAUUCAUAAACUUGGUACUAACUAAUUACGAAACUAAUUGAUUCUGUGAACAGGUUUGAACAUAAUUUAUCUUGCAGUGAAUCAAAACUCAGUGUUCAGUCUGCUGCUCAUGUUACCCAUGCUUUUGCAGAUGGCACAUACCUAGGUAAA